CAAAAUAUAGUUUAAUAAAAUAUUAAUUUUGGAGAUUAAAGAUAUAAAUUUUUAUUAUUUUGA
rnacentral:tRNA from 1 species